CCUACGGGAUGCAGCAGUGAGGUAUAUUGGUCAAUGGACGAGAGUCUGAACCAGCCAAGUAGCGUGAAGGAUGACUGCCCUAUGGGUUGUAAACUUCUUUUAUAUGGGAAUAAAACGUUCCACGUGUGGGAUUUUGUAUGUACCAUAUGAAUAAGGAUCGGCUAACUCCGUGCCAGCAGCCGCGGUAAUACGGAGGAUCCGAGCGUUAUCCGGAUUUAUUGGGUUUAAAGGGAGCGUAGAUGGAUUGUUAAGUCAGUUGUGAAAGUUUGCGGCUCAACCGUAAAAUUGCAGUUGAAACUGGCAGUCUUGAGUACAGUAGAGGUAGGCGGAAUUCGUGGUGUAGCGGUGAAAUGCUUAGAUAUCACGAAGAACUCCGAUUGCGAAGGCAGGUUCCUGAACAUUCACUGACGCUGAGGCACGAAGGCGAGGGUAGCGAAAGGGAUUAGAUACCCUUGUAGUC
rnacentral:rRNA from 1 species